rnacentral:rRNA from 1 species
CAGUAGCCACGGUAAUACGUAGGGGGCGAGCGUUGUCCGAAGUUACUGGGCGUAAAGAGCGCGUAGGCUGGUCUUUAAGUGAGUGGUGAAAGGUUCGGGCCCAACCCGGACACUGCCUUUCAUACUGGGGUCCUUGAGUGUGGGAGAGGCGAGUGGAAUGGUCGGUGUAGCGGUGAAAUGCGUAGAUAUCGAUCGGAACACCCAUGGCGAAGGCAGCUCGCCGGCCUAACACUGACGCUGAGGCGCGAAGGCGUGGGGAGCAAACAGGAUUAGAUACCCCGGUAGUCCCUGUCUCUUAUAC